CACAAUCUCUUUGUCCCGACAAACCUCAA
rnacentral:snRNA from 1 species